GCCUGUGUGGUCUAGUGGUUUGAAUUUUGGACUACAACUCUGGAGACCAGGGUUCAAAUUCCUGCUCAGCCA